rnacentral:rRNA from 1 species
CCUACGGGUGGCAGCAGUGGGGAAUAUUGGACAAUGGGGGGAACCCUGAUCCAGCCAUGCCGCGUGUGUGAAGAAGGCCCUCGGGUUGUAAAGCACUUUCAGUGAGGAAGAACGCCUGGUGGUUAAUACCCAUCAGGAAAGACAUCACUCACAGAAGAAGCACCGGCUAACUCCGUGCCAGCAGCCGCGGUAAUACGGAGGGUGCGAGCGUUAAUCGGAAUUACUGGGCGUAAAGCGCGCGUAGGUGGCUUGAUAAGCCGGUUGUGAAAGCCCCGGGCUCAACCUGGGAACGGCAUCCGGAACUGUCAAGCUAGAGUGCAGGAGAGGAAGGUAGAAUUCCCGGUGUAGCGGUGAAAUGCGUAGAGAUCGGGAGGAAUACCAGUGGCGAAGGCGGCCUUCUGGACUGACACUGACACUGGGGUGCGAAAGCGUGGGUAGCAAACAGGAUUAGAUACCCUGGUAGUC